rnacentral:rRNA from 1 species
GUGCCAGCAGCCGCGGUAAUACGUACGAGGCGAGCGUUAUCCGGAAUUACUGGGCGUAAAGCGCGCGCAGGUGGCUUGGUAAGUGAGAUGUGAAAUCUCCCGGCCUAACUGGGAGGGGACAUUUCAGACUGGCAGGCUUGAGGACAGCAGAGGUAGGUGGAAUUCCUGGUGUAGUGGUGAAAUGCGUAGAGAUCAGGAGGAACACCGGUGGCGAAGGCGGCCUACUGGGCUGUCUCUGACGCUGAGGCGCGAAAGCUCGGGGAGCGAACGGGAUUAGAUACCCCAGUAGUCC